rnacentral:rRNA from 1 species
UACAGAGGAUGCAAGCGUUGUCCGGAAUUAUUGGGCGUAAAGAGCUCGUAGGCGGUCUGUCGCGUCGGCUGUGAAAACUCGGGGCUCAACCCCGAGCCUGCAGUCGAUACGGGCAGACUAGAGUCCGGCAGGGGAGACUGGAAUUCCUGGUGUAGCGGUGAAAUGCGCAGAUAUCAGGAGGAACACCGGUGGCGAAGGCGGGUCUCUGGGCCGGAACUGACGCUGAGGAGCGAAAGCGUGGGGAGCGAACAGG